rnacentral:lncRNA from 1 species
ACAAAGUUGUCUGAUCAGGUGGACAACAAUGUCAACAAACAUUUGACACAACAUUUGAAAAGACAGGAAGUGGGAAAGAUGAGGAAACUGAAGCUCCACAAGGUUAAGUAACUCGCCCAAGGUAGUGAGAAGAGCCUGGAUGUCGAACCAGUAAAUCUGGCUCCGGAACCCGCUUUCCUAAGUAGCUUUCAUUCCGACUGCAUGUAAAUAGGAAUCACUCACAUUUCUGCCUGGAAUUUUUAUCUGAAAGUUACAAUCAAGAAAAGCGCACCUCUUUUAUUUGCUUUUUUUUUCUUUUUUUUUUUUUUACUCAUUAAAGACAGGAUAUAAAAGUUUCCCCAUUCUUAGUUAGAAUGGGUAUAAUUGCAAAGGGUCAGAGACCCAACUCCUUGUAACUACCACUUGAAAGGCAUUGCAAAUCUGAUCUUGUCACUCUCAAGCUUAAAUUCCUUGAGCAGCUCCCUAUUCUCCUAGAAUAAAGGCCUCAGGUCUUUAACGUGGCCUGUGAGGCACUAUUUGAAACUCUGCUCUGGCCAAAUAGAACUUUCUUCAUUUUUUUAAAGGCUAACUCCUUCAGUCUUCAAGUCUUUUGCACAUGCCAGCUGUUUUCCAAUUCCUUGUUCAACCUUUAGCUCAGAUGUCAUCUCCCAGAAGUCUUCUUUGACUGUUCAGACAGAUUAUUCUCUUUUGUUCCACAUUUUCAUAGCACUUUCCAUUUGUAUCAUAUAAUCAUAAUAGAAAUUAACUAUAUGUAUAAACUUUUAAAAAUGUUGGUCUUCUCUGCUAGGCAAUAAGUUAAUGAGAGAAUAUAUCUGGCCUGUUUAGUACUGAAUCCCCAAUACCUGGGAUAAUGGCUGAAACAUAAUAGAUGCUCAGGAGACAGUUCUUAAAAGAAUAAAUGCAAAACACUUCAACAUGAAAAUUACUUGCAGAAAGUAUCUCUUUUAUUCUAAUACAACUGAUCAUUUAUUUUAUCCUGAGUCUGUGUCCAAAUUUGAUUCAUUUCUUUAUAUGCUACUGUCAGACAAAUGUUAUAGUGCAUCCCUAAAUAAUCUCUAUGAUCUUUACUUUUUGUUUAGCUUUGUCUUGGUAGGUGGGAAUUGUGCUUUUAGCUUCAGCUUUUAUGGGAACUAGUAGCAGAAUAGCCAGUCCUGUCACUCACAAUACAAUGAGUAAUACUUGGUAGCUCACACCUAGCUGGGAAGUUUAUUAAUGAGCUUCUACUUCCUUAAAACAAACACAUACACACUUUUGUGCCAAGGCAGUGUUUUUUAACCUGAUGGUCUAGGUUUUGUUUCGAAUGCACCUAGGUCAGCAAUAAGAACCUAUAUCUUUGUGGUCAUAUAAUUAUUCACUUCCUACUGAUGGAGCACAUGGCCAAAUGCAGGUUGCUUUGAAAAGAAACCACCCAGAAACAAGCUUAGAGAAAGACAUUUAGUUUCUGGUAGAUAGGCCACAAAAUUGGUCCCUCCCUGCCUAAUUUCCAUGAUUUUAUGCCCAGUUAGCCAGAAUUCAGUUUAGAAUAAAGCCAUAAUUAACAGUUUGUGAUUGUAUGUUUAAGGAACUGAGAUUAUAGUUUAUCAGACUUAUAAAUCCUUUCUUGCAAAUGAUAUAAAUUUAUGCUCCAAUAUAACAAACACUUAAAGGUUGAAACACUAGUUUUUAUUUGCAACUGGAAAACUGAGGCUUGAAACAAGGAGUGUACUACUCAAUCUUGUUAGACUAUAGGCAUUCAAGCGGGGAACACUGUUUCAUGA